GGAAGUAAAAGUCGUAACAAGGUCUCCGUUGGUGAACCAGCGGAGGGAUCAUUACUGAGUUACCGCUCUAUAACCCUUUGUGAACAUACCUACAACUGUUGCUUCGGCGGGUAGGCCGUCCCCUGAAAAGGACGCCUCCCGGCCCGGACCGGACCCCCCGCGGGACCGGACCCGGCGCCCGCCGGAGGAUAACCAAACUCUAUUGUAACGACGUUUCUUCUGAGUGGCAUAAGCAAAAUAAUCAAAACUUUUAACAACGGAUCUCUUGGUUCUGGCAUCGAUGAAGAACGCAGCGAAAUGCGAUAAGUAAUGUGAAUUGCAGAAUUCAGUGAAUCAUCGAAUCUUUGAACGCACAUUGCGCCCGCCAGCAUUCUGGCGGGCAUGCCUGUUCGAGCGUCAUUUCAACCCUCAAGCUCUGCUUGGUGUUGGGGCUCUACGGUCGACGUAGGCCCUCAAAGGUAGUGGCGGACCCUCCCGGAGCCUCCUUUGCGUAGUAACAUUUCGUCUCGCACUGGGAUCCGGAGGGACUCUUGCCGUAAAACCCCCCAAUUUUCCAAAGGUUGACCUCGGAUCAGGUAGGAAUACCCGCUGAACUUAAGCAU
rnacentral:rRNA from 1 species